rnacentral:lncRNA from 1 species
ACCAUGGGAGAGAAUUUGAACGCUCUUGGCAGUUGAGAUUCAGACCUUGACAGUUGUAACCGAUAGACUGGGCUGGGGCAACGCUGAUGAAAGGCAAAUUCCUGAGAGAAAAAUCACCCAGACUUUCUAGAAGUUGUUAUGAGUGGACCUGACUACCUAGAGAGAGUAAUACAGAAGCUCCGUGCCGAUCACAGCUACCUCAUUACCAUGUUCCUCCAAGAUGGCCGCCCCUGAGGAGAAUCAUCAACUGGGCUUUACGGAAGAGAGAAAUCCAAACGACCAUCAGCAACAAAUGAAAGACUGAAGUUGAAAGUUUCAAGAUUGUCAAGAAUGACGAGUUGGACUUGGUCUAGUUACUUCCACAGCAGCAGGAGGAACAUGUGUGUGACUCAGGAUAACUGGGGAAGCCUUGGCUAGGCUUUCCUCAUGUCAACCUACCACUCAAAGGGAGAAAACCUCCUGAUCAGAGGUGCCCAGAACCCAGGAAAUCCAUAAUUUUUGAAUGCUGGCCGAGGUCUGUGACCUCUGACUGAAUGGUUUCCAAGCUCCGAAUUCCUAGGUGAUGUUUUCAUUUGUUCACACUUGCUGAAGAAGGGAAAGGCUCUCUGAUUUACGUGUAAGCAAAACAAUCUAAACAGUAGGAUAAAAUCAUGUUGGAAUGGAGUUCUGUGUGGAUGCUCCUUUGAACCAAAUCAGUUCCACAACUGACCCUGUCAGGGACAUAUAAAUUUAGCAUUUUGGUGUGGAUACAGAAGACGAGAUUAACACAGAUCAAGUAACAUGGAAAUAAAAAAGGAGACAAUGCUGGAUGAUACAGGGGCAGCCAACAAGAGGAGAAAACCCAAGCAUUGGCAAAUGCCUCAUUAUCCAAAGAACACUGAGGUGUGGAGCAAAACUGUGUUGAAUGAACUGUAGAUGGAAAUUCUCUCCUUCCCACCGAGGAGCCGCUGCAGGUUGCAGACUCCCAGAAUGCCACACUGAGAAGAGGAGGGCUAAAAUUCUAGAGCAGAAUCCCUGGGGCAGCCCCUGCUGAAGAAGGGUGCAUCUGUUGAGAAUCUCAUCACCGCCCCCACCCCGCCCAGCCUUCAAUUUAGAGGAAUUUCUAGUUCACGCAGAAUGAAGACAAGAUCACAUAAGUGAGGACGACGCCCCAUUUACAAGUGUGAUUUGGAAGACUGAAGUGGAAACCUUGGGAAGGGGCCUCAGAGUAUGUCAGCUGGGGUCAGACGGGAACAGGAGUCUGGCUCAACACACAUUUAUUGCACUCCUGUUUCAUGCCAAGAAAUGUACCAAAAUCUGGGACUGUGUAACACAGCAAAGGAAAAGACUCAUCUCCAGGAAGCCCCCUUGUCUAGGAAGAGAAAUUGAAUAUCAGCAUAAGGUGGUGAAAAGCUGUGAAGGAGAUGAGUGCCAGGAGUCCAUGGAGGAAGGAUUCUAGCCUGGACAGGUGAGGAAUGGCUUUCUGGAAGAAGCAGAUGCCCCAGCUGAACUUUAAAAUGCCCAUGUGAAAUGAACUGUCUGUAUCUUCAAUCAGCAAAUGGAGUAGGUGGCCACUGUUUAAUUCUGGAAUGGGGAAGUGUAAAGGUGUGGUGUGUGUGUUUACCCCUACUUAGGGAUUCAAAACAGACAGUAAAGAACAAAAGUCUAGCCCUUUGAGCAUUCUCCAUGGGACAUUUGAGGUCUAGCUGGCCCCAGAGAAAGAGAGACAGAAGCAAGGUCAUAUCCAUUUGAGAAAAUCAAAGUGUCUGCUCCAAUUGAGUCUGGUGUCCUUAUUCCUGGAAUAGCCAUCCCUACUGCUCUGGUGCUGAUUUACCUCCGGCAGUUCAGUGCUUCCUGGAAGGUAGGCUGGGCUUUUUAACAAAGUGACUCCUUACUUGACAUGUUUUACCCAAACACAGAGGCCACUGCACUAUGUGCAAGAAACAACAAAAAAUUAAAUGAGACUCAAUGCCUUCCUUAGGGAUCUAAAACCCCAGUAACACAGAUAAACAGGUAAACAAAUAAUGUGAUGGUGUGAUUCUAUAGCAACAGGAAUAGAGCACUGCA